rfam:Picea glauca, whole genome shotgun sequence.
GUACAUUCCUAUAUCAUAGCAUUAAUGCACCUGAUCCCAUUAGAACUCUAUAGUUAAGUGCGCUUGGGCUAGAGUAGUACCAGGAUGGGUUAUCAACUAGGAAGUCAUAGUGUUUAAC